AUUGAACGCUGGCGGCAUGCUUUACACAUGCAAGUCGAACGGUAACAGGCCUUCGGGCGCUGACGAGUGGCGAACGGGUGAGUAAUGCAUCGGAACGUGCCCAGUCGUGGGGGAUAACGCAGCGAAAGCUGUGCUGAUACCGCAUACGAUCUGCGGAUGAAAGCGGGGGACCUUCGGGCCUCGCGCGAUUGGAGCGGCCGAUGUCAGAUUAGGUAGUUGGUGGGGUAAAGGCUCACCAAGCCAACGAUCUGUAGCUGGUCUGAGAGGACGACCAGCCACACUGGGACUGAGACACGGCCCAGACUCCUACGGGAGGCAGCAGUGGGGAAUUUUGGACAAUGGGCGCAAGCCUUAUCCAGCAAUGCCGCGUGCAGGAAGAAGGCCUUCGGGUUGUAAACUGCUUUUGUACGGAGCGAAAAGGCUCCCUCUAAUACAGGGGGCUCAUGACGGUACCGUAAGAAUAAGCACCGGCUAACUAUGUGCCAGCCGCCGCUGUAAUAC
rnacentral:rRNA from 1 species